GUCAGUAGUCAAGUACUUUAUUUUUCAUUCUGCUAUCAUAAUGAUAGACAACAGUCAGUUAUUUCCAUUAACAAGCUUUAGAAUUUUUUUAGGCUAGUAUAUUGACGUAUGAAUAGAUGUUGCAUUAAAAUGUAUUAACUACUGUUCUAGUAAAAUGUAGAACAUCUAUUGGGGCAUGUGUAUUAUUAGAAUUAUUCAAAUUUUUGUUUGGUAUUUUUUGGCGUGAAAAUUUGAACACAUUUUAAAAUUAAAAAUACUUUCAAUCUAAUCAUAUAUAUACACACACACAUUCUGAAGAGCACAGUUGGAUAAUUCAGUUGAUAUAAUUUCAUAUGAACCACAACCUCCACCCUCAUGUAAGAUAUUUGAAGUAAAACAUGAUCUUCACAUGAAAAGUUUUGUUGGUUUUUUUAUUUUAAUGAACAAAGGACAAAUUAAGCAAUGUUAUUAGUAAAAAUUUUUUCUUAUAAAAAACCUGAUACACUUUUUUUUUAUGUAUCUAGGUUUUUACAGAAUAGCAGGCUGGGAACUAAACAAGCAAUCCUAUUCUCACUACACACCACGAGGUACAGGAACUACUUAUUGUAGUCUCUGUAACCACAACUUUACUAGGCCUGCACACUAUAAACGUCAUUUAUUGGUGCACAGACCAGUUCGACAGAGGUUUGCCUGCCCUUUAUGUAGCAAGAAAUUCAGUUGGCCAGAUUAUGUAAAGAAGCACAUACAGCUGGUUCAUGAACAGCGCUGACAAAAAAAGAAUCAAGAUCUUGUUUACACAUUUUUAGCAACUAACUUUGAAGUGUGACUUUUAGAAAGAACAAACUUUGGAGUUGUGAAAAGACAAGAUCAAGUAACUACUUAAACAGAUAAAAGGAAUUAAAAAAAUUCUUUACUUUCCUUGCUUGUCAUUAUUUAAGGGAGACAAACAUUCAUAUUAAACUUUUGUUUGGACAAAGAGGAGUCAGAAAAAAAGUUUGGUAAACUAAAGUUUUUUUUGAGAAAUGGCAUUAUUACUUGAAUGAAUAGUUCUGUAAAAUUUAUUCAUAAUAUAUUUUCAUUCUAUUACAGUGAGUAUAAUAAAAGACUUAUAGUGAACAAAAUAUUAAUUUAAAGUGCUAGGAGUACUACUAAAUUUAUCCAUGUCUGCCUCUUUUGUUUUAAAAAAAGUUAAACAUCUUGAAAGGUAAUUCAUGAAUAUUUUCUUGGAAUGAAAAGAUAUUAUUGUCAGUAACUUCUCACCAAAAGUACAUUUAACUUUAUAGAUCAGAACUAAAAGGUAUCUUCUCAGUUAAUAAAACUAAAUCUGUACAAGAAACUACACAAUUUCAAAACCAGUAUAUGCAAGAAAACUAUAAUAAUGAUAAUGCAUUGGUUCAUCAAUUGAGUUCUUUACUCAAAAAGUAAAUUUUGAGAUGUAUGUGAUAUUUAUAAAUAUAUAAAGAGUAGUAAUUUAUAAAUGCAUUUCUAUUCUUCACACACUUUGACUGACAAAUAGCAGUAAGUUUCUGUAAAUUGCAGUUUAUCUAAGGAAGUGCCAAGAUCACAUAGAUGACUAAUAUUGAUAUUUUUAUUUCAGUUGGUUGAUAUAUGUACAGUGUUUCAUUAGUAUCACUUUUCAAAUAUAUUUGCAAAAAAGGUAACAUAAUGAUAAUGAAAAAUAUUGAAGAUUAACAUUUCAUAAAUGUCUUAAGACAGAAGCAAUUAUAAUUCUGUAAAAUAACCAAUAGUGGGGUUAAAUGAUUUGUAGACAUGUGUGAAAGGUUAAAAAAAACUUUAUUGUGGAUCAACUAAAGGAUAGUGAUACCACACUAGCAAGUAUAAAGUUGGCCUAUCUGGCAUUAGUCUUGUUUUUGCACUCCAACCACACUGCCAUGAUUCUGUUUUUACAGCUCUUUUUUUUUUUUUUUUUAAGUUUAUAAACAAAACUGCAGUAUAUUAAUUACAUGAUUGUUAAAUUGUCACUGUAAAUGUGGUUGGUAGCUAUGCAGCAUAUUUUGUACAUAGUGGAGUUCCAUGUGCUACAUGUAGUGGCCAAAGUACAAAAACUGACAGUGUAGUGGUUCAUAUUUAUUGCAAUUUCUUUUUCCUGAUAUGAAACAUCCACGUUGUUCAUGGAUUUAUUGAAAACUUCAUGUUGAUUUUAAAGUUGUAUUUAUAAUGUCAUAUAUGAUUGAGAUUCAUGGUUCAUUGUUUUUCAUUGUUUAUUUACUAUGAAAUGAGAAUAUAUACAGAUGGAAACCUUGAUGUGACGUUUGUGAUAAUAGUCUCUAAAAGAAGGCUGAGAAAUUCCACUGGAAUGUCAAAUUAACAUAAUUACACAAAGUUAAUGUAAAAAUUGUUGUAAUACAGAAAUUUGACAUUUGUAUGAUUAGAAUAUAUAUAGUUAAUAUAUGCAUAUGAGUAAUAUUGUGAUAUUUGAUUCAAGAAAUUAAAGGUACUUGAAGCACACUAACAUACGUUUCUAAACAUUCACUCUAAUAACAUAAGUCCAAAAUUCUUGUGUUCUUCUAUGUGUUGGAUUUAUUACUAAUCAUUUUUUAAUAUUUUUUUUUGUAAUAUUUCAUUGGAAUGUAUAAAAACUCUAUGGUCUUUUAAAUUUCCACAUGUGACAAUUGUUAUAUGGUAAACACACAAAUAAUCAUCCAUCUCUUUGCUCAAAAUAAGUUUGUGUUUAAUUAAUAAAUAAUUAUCUGUCAUUAAUUGUUAUACUACUUCAAAACCAUGAAGUAUGCUAUGAGACAGCAAAUACUUGAAAUGAUGAAACAUGAUAUUGCUUGUGAAUCAGUUAGUUGAGUAAAUUAACAACUAGAAGGAUGCCUAGUAAACUGCAGACCAUGUGGCACUGCUCAUUGUGACCUCUGGUACCACUGACUAUUUUCUUGAAAGCUAAUUGGUUUCUCCAAGGUAGCAAGUAGAUCGUGACACUCAGCUAAUUAAUUAGAUGAAGAAUAGUGUUCUUAUUCUCCUACAGUGUUAUGAUGCAUUAAGUAAGAAGUAGAUUUGUUUGUUUUAGUGCCACACUGGGCUAUCUUCUGUGUCCACCACAGGAAAUGAACCUCGUAUUUUAGCAUUGUGAGUCCAUAAAAUUACCACUGACCCACCAGGGGAUAGGAAGUAGAUCACGACACUCAGCUAAUGAAUUAGAUGAAUAAUAGUGUCCUCGUUCUCCUACAGUGUCAUGAUUCAUGAGGAUAUAGCAAAAGAAACCGAACAUGCCAUUUGUGCCUCAAUGUUCUUGGGUCAGAUCCUGCAUAUUCACGUCACAUGAAGCUUCACAAGUCAGCUCUUGAACAAAACUUAAUUUCUUGUCCGUUGUGUUAUCGACAGUUCAAUCGUUUAGACAACUAUAAACGCCAUGUGAGAAAAGUUCAUAACCAUUUAAGCUCAUGAUUUGAUUUAAACCUAACAUGUUGUAACUGGUAGAGCUCAACGUGUAUUAAAAUUGUAAUAAUAGUUGAUUGAUCAGGUAAUGUAACUUUAAUAGAACAAAGGUAUUUAAAGGUCUGAGUUUUUAAUUGUUUGAAUUUUGUAUUUUCACUAGUCUGUUAUAGUUCUGUGUAGCUGCACAGAAGAGGUUGUAAUUAAACAAUGUACCCUAAUAUUUAAUAAAAGUUCUGGAAUUAAA